rnacentral:rRNA from 1 species
GAUCAUGGCUCAGAUUGAACGCUGGCGGCAUGCCUUACACAUGCAAGUCGAACGGUAACAGGUCUUUCGGGAUGCUGACGAGUGGCGAACGGGUGAGUAAUACAUCGGAACGUGCCUAGUAGUGGGGGAUAACUACUCGAAAGAGUGGCUAAUACCGCAUGAGAUCUAUGGAUGAAAGCAGGGGACCUUUGGGCCUUGUGCUACUAGAGCGGCCGAUGGCAGAUUAGGUAG